UUGCUUUGAAGCCUGCUUCAAGUGGCUAUUUGAGGAACAACGUUUUUUUUAAACUCUGCGUUACUCCAGAGGUUUCUCCUUGGAACAAGUAUCAACACUGCCAAUGAUUCACUGUGUAUAAUUUAUACAAAGCCAUGUCAUGCUCCAGUCAGUAGUACAAAAGUAAACAACACACCACACAAGCACAUAAAUGUAAGUGAACUCCUGCCAUUGGAAAUGCCCACUCACUGGCCUUGAGGUUAAAACAUUUUUUCCACAAAUAUGUUCAGAGACGGUUUGAUUUUAUUUUGAAUGAGACAGGAGAGUGACACUGUUUCUUUUCCCAUUUCAAAAAAUAAUUUUCCCAACAGACCACAUUCCCACGAUGCUGUCAUGUGGUCCUAAAUUUGCUGCAGCUGAGUGAAGUGAGAUUUGAUCACCACAGAAAGAUGUUAGGAGAAAUCAAUCUGACUGUUUGUUUGUGCAUGUAAAAGUUUUGACCCCGUCUCUGAGGGCUGCAGGGACUUGAUGUUGUUUAGACUCAUCUCUCUGCCUUCUCUCCCCGGAGACCUGCCUGUGUAGCAAUCCCAGCAUCCUGUUCCCUGCUCCGCUGCAUCCAUAUCGCACUAAUGAUCAUGGGAGUGGACAGCUGCUUAAUGCAGUAGUGUCAUCAGGGCUGCUGUCUGAUAGAAGCUCCAUUGCACUUGACGGGACUCAAAUGUAUCUGCUGCCCACGAGAUCCCACAUUUAGCGGAUCCACUAAUGUGCUUUAGGAUCACCUCAGAAAAGGUGUGUUAGAUAUAUGAUCACAAGACACAUCACACUUCAAGUGCAGGAUUACAGUCAGGAUUCUUCUUUCUUUUACUUCUUUGAACAGUGUCAGAUUUUAAAGCAUGGCUCCCAAUCACAUUAAGAAUAUGCUAAUAAAUAUUAAAGAAAACAUAGAAGGGGGGCUUUCUUAAAUCUUCAUAAACAAUCAUGAGAUUUCUUGAGCUAUACUUUUGCUGUUCCCAUUUUUCCCCUCCAGGGCUUGAUAUUCAUGUACUUCUUUGUCUACCCUGUGACCCAUCAUGAACCACAGGCGUGCCGUCUUGGGCAGCAGUGGUCACCUGACUGCAGUGCGUGCACUUAUCCAGUUAUGCACUCUCUCUCUUUCUCUCACUCAGCUGGAGCGCUCCUGUCCGGUGCAGCUAAAACAACAACAGAGCAGUUGAAUAAAUACAAGCAGAACAAGUUUCGUAAGAGUGGGCAGGGAAAGGUACAGGAUCUUAACACGCCGCUGUUUUUCCCUCUUGUACAAAUCGGUGCCAUCUUUUCAACCUGAAGCGUAUAUCAAACGAAUUAUGAGACCACAAUAUCAUGUACCUUAAUCCGCAUCUCGACAUCCAUGUACUUUUCAACUUUCACUUUUCUGCUAUCUUAAAAGACUUUGGUUUUGAGGUGGAGUUUUCAAAGGAAAGUCAUAGGAAAACAUUGAUAACAACAGUUCAGCCACCUUUGAUUCCUACCCUGAAGUGAGUAAACCAAACAUGGCCACUUUAAAGGGAGAAACAACAGAAUCAAUAAACCACUAAUGGAAAAAAAUGGAGCAUUUUAGUAUUCUUUUAAUAAUUUUCUGCUGUAAAAGUAGGAAAGCUGCCAAAGUUUAUAUGAGACUGCAUCAUGUCACUCAUAAAAAGCUUGUUAUCAAUCACUACGGUUUUGUUUUUCCAAGUUUGCCUCCAUCUGUUACAGUGAAUAAAGACCCUGACGACAUCAUUAUAAACCUUAUCCUCUGGAAUACGUUCUCUAAACUGAAAGGACCCUAUUAGAACAAAAGAUAUUGUGUUCCACAGGUUAUCAAUGAUAUUUGAAACACCAUCUCGAGAGACAUAUGCUGCCAUUGAAACUCCCAAUAUAUUCAUUUUCUGUAGUUUGAGUAGAACAAAUCUAGUCUUAAUGACAAAGAGUUAAAACUGUCUAGACAGCUUUUAACAUUUAUUUCAUUGGAGGAUAAGAGAAAUACGGCUCAUGUGAUACUGUGUAAAUUGGUUGGACCCACUCUCCGAAUUUCUCAAUGGUUGAGAUUCAGUGGUCUUCAGAGAGCUCUCUUCCUCUGUCCCCACUUUCUGAAACUUCUGUCCUUCCAUCCUUUCUUUCUCUUGCUUUCCCUCCAUCCCUCCGCCAGUCUUCCCUUCUUUCAGUUCAUAUUUCAGUUUGCUCCCAGGAGCUCGCAGGUCUGUGCCAGACGGAAAUUCGCUGAGGCUGCAGGAGCCCCCUUGGAGGCCACAUGGAGGAGGGACAGGAGGGGAACAAUCAGGCCCAGUCCUCCCUCUCCUUCUCUCUCCCUCUCUUCAGCGCUCCCCUCCAAUCUACUUUUUUCUCUCUUCUCCCCUCCUUUUUUUCUCUUUCUUCCGUCCUCACGUUUCCUCACUCUCUCCCCUGUCUCUCUCUCUGUCUCCUCUGUUUCCAGCCUGCCAGGCUACACAGGUCCUCAGGGUGACUUGCUCUUGGCUCGGGUCCCUCAGCACAGAGCCCUCUCCUCUCCUCCUACACCCACUGUUUUUACACAACACCUCCGCCCCCUCCUCCUUAUUUUUUGCUCCUUUCCCACCUCCUCUCCCUCCAAACUCUCCCCAGGGGGAAGACGCUGAGGCCAUCCAGUCCCGAGCUGUCCAUCAGCGAGGGUGUUUACUUGCAGCGUGACAGGCCGACACAUCUGGAGCGCAUAUUCACUAGUGUUCACACUAUUUCUCCCUCUCACUCCUCACUGGCCCUCGAUUUAUCCCGACGCUGCCACCAGAUGCAUUCCUCCCGUUCAUUUCAGGGCCCUUUGUCGUCGUUAUGGCGAGCCCACCUCUAACUUUCAUAAACUCGCUCAAAGCACACACGAGAUGCACACACAGAUUUGUUUUCAACCGUUUUUCCCUCUCUCUUUCACCCCUCCAGUGGUUUUUCAGUUGCAUGACAGAAAUUGGAGUUAACCACCAGCAGGGGUGGGCCAAAGGGGCGAAGCAAAGCAGUGCUGGGGUUGGGGGGGCAAGAGUCAGCCUUCUCUCCUCCACCUUUCUGUCUCCCUCUCCCUCCAUCUGUAUCCCCAUUCCCAAUCUUUCUCUCUUUUCAGUGAGUGCAAACUAAUUACAGCAGCUCCCCCACUUCUUUUUGGAAACCCAUGACUACUGCUCAAAUGAAGUGACACUCUUUUUUUUUCAUCCUGUGUGUCUCCUCUGCCUUACUCACUCAUCUCCCCACCUCAUCACCCUGCAUCUCACCCACCCACCCACCCUGUCUGUUUUCCCAACAUUCCUGUGCUGGUGUGUGACUGUGAUGGCUUGUCAUCUCACAGGAAUGUCCUGCUCUCCCACCUCGUCCCCCCGAUUUGGCGUGAAGCAUUUGCUCCUGGUUUCCGACUCUGCACAUGUGCACACACACAAACGCACACAUGCAAGCACACGCUUGAAAUGCUAGCUUUUAAAAAAAAUGUGUUCAUGCAGAUGGUGUCCAUUGGGCUGCAUACCUACCCUUGGCGUACGGCCACAACAAGCACAGCCAUUCUCAGAUAGUCCCCAGCUUGUUUUUCAACUGUAGAAAGUGUGCACAAAGUUAUUUUAUCUUAUGUUGCCUGUGGUAAAAAGAGCCAUUUUCUUUGUACGGUUAACCCGAGGAAUUCUCUUGAUUACACUGAUUACCAAAUACAGCCUUCCAGAGCGGUUUUUAAGCAAAAACACUUGUUUCAUGCAGUUUUAAAUAUAAAGGAAAACAUAUAAAAACACAAUUUGCAGCUAAUAAAGCAGGACCAUGCAGCAUCAUGCAAAGUUAAUGUGGAAGAGAAUCAUCGGCUGAGUGAUACGAUUGUUGAAAAUGUUGUUUCUUAUUAAACGUGAUCAUGCUUUUAGGUCUGCAUGUGUCCUCUAUACAGAAAAGAUAAUAUGACGCACAUGUGACUUGAAGAGAUGUUAAGCUUAGUUUAGUUUAGAGAGGGACACAUGAUGACUUUCUCUUAGUCUCAGCGUGUUUUAACCUGUCUGUCUACAUACAGAGAGGACUUAUCAAAGACCUAAUGGCACACAGGAACAUGCUACUCUCAAUGACCCCGGGGAGCACUCACAAUGAGGCUAAUAAGGCAGAAUAUUGUGCGUAUCUGCAUUUAUGUGUGUGUGCGCACAUGUGACACAAUCUCCUGAUUGGCAUCAUCCUCUCGAACAAGUCUGGCUCCUUCUAGAUCCGGUUGACGUCUGUGCACGUGUGUGAUUAUUUGUCAGUGUGCGUUUAUUUGUGUAUCUAUGUGUGUGUGUGUGAGACAGAGAGUGUGCAGGAGAUAUCACCGGGCUCUCAUGUUUAUUCAGCUCAACGCCUGGAUGACCAGGACUUAUCCGCUGUCCUGAUUACCCUGCCUGGCCUGCCACCAUUAAUCCUUCAGAGACCCCAGGCCCCUUAAACAGCCCUAUCUUACACACACAAACACAUGCGCGCACACGCAAAGCCACACAUGCUUCUUUAGUAUACAUAUCAAGGACACAUUGUAGUCCUCAUAUACAUAUACAUGAAAAAAAAGUGUAGUCUUCUCAUUUUUCUCUCUAUUUCCUGUUUUAUCAGGGCUGUCCUUAGAGCAAAGCCCCUGCAUUUGUGUGUGUGUGAAAACUGUCAUUUGGGCCUCAAGGAACCUUCCAGGCAUCUCUCAAGGUCCCCCCUCCCUUUAAUUCCCAGUGACUUGUGUGUGUGAGUGUGUGUGUGUUUGGGAGUAAAGGCAGGGAGAAGUGAUUCAGUCUCAUUUUUGAGCCACAGUAUUUUCUUUAUCAGCUCUAGGCCUCUGUGAAGGCCCACAUAAUUAUAUUUUAUGUUGAGUAAAAAUUACAGCAUUGUAGCUCUUUUCCCAUAACAACUGUAUUUCUCUUUGGAGACACAAGGGUUUUCUGGUGAGGGGCCUGUUGGAGCAAACCGAGUGUGCGAGCACGCGCCUGCGACUGUGCAUGUGCGCGAGGUUUCAUACGUGUGUAUUCAGGACAUGGAGGCUCUUUUCAGCAAUAGUCACAGAGGCCAAGACAUAAUAUUGACCGUGGCUGUGUUCCCUUUUCUGGUUUUGCCCAUAAUAAAUGAUGCAGAUUAGAAAAGUCGGAGUACGUUGGGCUGAUAAGUAGCCUUUAGAGCUGGCUUGCCAUGCUGUUUGUGCGGGAGGGGGCUCGCUUUUUCUCACUCUGCCUCAAUUUCAAGUAUCCCAGUGACUCAAGGGCAGAGACAGUGUGUGUCUGUGUGUGUGUGUUUGUGUGUGUGUGUGGAGUUUUAACUGUGGUCUGUUGACGUUCAGAGUGAGCGGGUGGUGAGGGUGUUUGGACUCUGAAGGAAUGACGGCAGUGUGUGUUGCCAAGUCCCAUUUGAAUAUAUACACAGUAGGGAACCCUCUCAUUAUAAACAGAAGCUCAGACUCAUAGAUGUGCAUGAAAAAACACACACAUGCACACACACACACACACUCAGAGGAUGGGGACACAGUGCUGGAACUAGAACAGCUGGAACAGAGAAAAGCCAGUUCAUAUUGUUAGGCAAACAAAGCUGAAUUGUUGAAAUCGUGUGUGUGUUUGAAGGAUAUUUGUUUUAAUGUGACUCCCCCAGUCAUUGUCAGGAGAUGAAACGCCCGUCAACACUCACUGUUGUCUUUAUCAUGCACUGUUUGUGUCUUUCUACCUCAUUCCCUUCUUUCCUUCAUCAAUUUACUUCAGGAGGCAACACUUGACCACCUGAGCAGACAUGCACACAAGACACACACUUGCACACAAUGAGUCGUCUCUGACUCCUUCCCCUCCUCUGACACAGCUCCCUCUCUCUCCCCUCCUGUCCCUGUCUUCUCUCUUUUCCCAUAACAAAUAACAGCGCAGAAUUCCCCUCGCUUCUCUCCUGGGGAAUUUUCAUUACCGCCCAGUCCCCCUGCUCAGAAGGACUCCCCGCCUUGAACUGUUCAACAGCUGUGGUGUGGACACUCUCUUCCAAAACAGGCCCACUGUUCACAAACACCCACCGGACUCAGGGUGGGGACUCUGUGUCAACCUCCACAGCUCCAGAGACAGAGCUUCCCUUCGCAUGUGGCCCACCUCAAGGCCCUCUCGCCUGGGGAGAAAGAGGCCUGACACAGGGCCCCCAUCUCUACUUGAAUUAGAUUGAGAACAGAUUUCAGUGGGCUUGUAUAAGAGGGAUUAUAGACGGAUAAAGAAAUUAUUACGACUUAGUUUUCUGGCUGUGUAGUAUACUCAACAGCAGAAGUCCCACAUCCUGAUCAUGCAUGUUUCACUGAACCAAUCUGGAGAAAGGAGUUUACACAUUUCACCUCUGCUUGCUGACUCUGUGGCAAACCAUUAGUUUCUGAAUCGUCAGUCGUUUUGAUCACCUUCUCGAAAUGUACUAUUACAGUAAAUGUUCAGUUAUGUAAAUCUGCUUUGCAAGUAAGCUAAUAAUAUUUUACUGUGGACAUUGCCAACUGUGUUAUCAGAGGGAGUAGCCUACUGCAAGGCUGCCAAGUUUCAGAAAAUGACAAGAGUGAGACUUAGGCGUUAUGAUGUGUUCGGCCGCCGACCACGCGGAAAAAUAAAUAAAUAAAUAACGUUGAUUUAUACCUUAAGACUGAUGUCCUCACCUCCAUGCCAGCUGCUCUCCCUGCACUGUGGCCUCCCCUAAUGCUAGUCUUAAUUAACCAGAAAUAAGAAAGUGGGUUUUGAAUGUCGGCGCUGUUGUGUGUGAAAGAUAGAGAUGCCAAGACCCGCCUUACGUUGCUUCUGAUUGGUUUAUAUUGCGUGGCGCCUUCCAUGGUUGGUUAGAUUUAGGCACAAAGGACUGAUGGAUUGGUCUAGGAUUGGUUAUCUCGGUCAGUUAAUCAGAGUUACUCGAACUACGGCAAGCCAAGUUUAUUAUCAUCAAAAAAAUAAAUACAGACUAUUAAAUGGGGAAAUAUAAGUGUGAGAAAUGUGAAGUGUGGCGUGUGGCGAAUGGGUGAAACUGCGUGACUGUCACACUCAAAUUAAGACACUUGGCAGCUCUGCUACUGUGUGUCAACUUAUCUUUGGUUGGUAGCUAGUUAACAUGUACAUCAGAGUAAUAAAGCCCUGGAGAGUUGGUGCGUUAUUUUAGAAAACCUAUUUACAAAACCUUCAAAUUCUGCUCGACGUUGUUUAAAGUCUCAGUUUUCAUCUUACAAGACAGCAGCUAUUAGCUUAGCUAUCUACAGGGGUCUCCAUCAGCUUGAGAUUUAGUGCCUGCCUGUUUCUUGAUGCCGUGUGGCUGGACAUCAAGAAUGAAAAGUUUGGUUUUGCAGUUUGUGGGAAAGCUCCUAGCUUGUAACUGUGAAAAUAGGAUGCUAGACCACGUGCAAGAUGUAUAAAUGGUAACGCUUUUCGUCCUGCAUGCAAGGAGGCUUUGGGAAAUGAGGAAGAGGUGUCCGCACUAGAAGUAUGCAAAGUUUCAAAUCACGACGUAAAUGUAUGUUGUCAUUAUCCUAGAAAAUAGAUGUAAACUGCUCAAAACGGGGCCUUACGAGAAAACGUUAGACUCACUAAAAUGCUUGUGUCAGCAUUAUAGGCUCUCAUUACUGGUUCAUCUGUGCUUUCAGCAAAGCAGAACGGCCUGCCUCCAACAGUGUGUGAGGUGACAGCGCUCUACUAAUUGAACACAAAAGAGGGGGUGGGGCCAAAACAUCAAGCUCUGCCCCCAGCUGGCCUCCGGAAAGCCUACAGAGGGGUGGCCAAUCAGAAGAAAGGAGGCUGGGGGGCCUUAAAGAAACAGCGGCUAAAACUAAGCAUUUUAGACAAAGGUUGAAAUCAUGAUAUUUUAAUGCACUAGAGUGAGAAACACAUUUUUUAAAUCUGAAAAUCAGAUUGAGAUCUUAAAGAGAGAUCAGAAAGGAAGUAUAGAGUAAAAAAAGAUGUAUAAUACCCCCGCUUGAACGUCAGUUUAUCCUGCACAGAAUCAGCUGUUUUCUCUUCCUGAUGAUCAAUGUUAAACAGAGUUAAUCUUUUGAUUACCUAUGCCCACCUCUGCAGUUUUACAGGCUAUUAAAUCUAUAUACUGGAGCUUUAUUGUAAAGUGCAGAGGAGUCAUCGGGUCUUCACUGACUGACAGGAAAGAGUACUGGCAGCUAAGGAAAGGGUCCCAGUAUGCUGAAAAAAAGUCGCGGUAACACAAGGGGUUAAAUGUAGAACCGGUUGUAAUUCAUACUAGGGUGGUCUGGCUUUCCUUUGGCACAUUAUGCCAAAUAAUGGAAGCGUCUUGAAAUGAAUUAAAAGGUGAGACUGUCUUCCCCAAAAUAAGAAACAACAGUUUACAUGGCAAGUUAAAAGGUUUCUACUGAUAAUGUUAGUGAAGCUCUUUCAAUUGCCAGUAGUUAUCAUUCCACACAAUCAGAUAGAUAGAUAGAUAGAUAGAUGGAUAGAUGGAUAGAUGGAUAGAUAGAUAGAUAGAUAGAUAGAUAGAUAGAUAGAUAGAUAGAUA
rnacentral:lncRNA from 1 species